rnacentral:rRNA from 1 species
UGGGGAAUUUUGGACAAUGGGCGCAAGCCUGAUCCAGCCAUGCCGCGUGAGUGAUGAAGGCCCUAGGGUUGUAAAGCUCUUUCACCGGUGAAGAUAAUGACGGUAACCGGAGAAGAAGCCCCGGCUAACUUCGUGCCAGCAGCCGCGGUAAUACGAAGGGGGCUAGCGUUGUUCGGAUUUACUGGGCGUAAAGCGCACGUAGGCGGACUUUUAAGUCAGGGGUGAAAUCCCGGGGCUCAACCCCGGAACUGCCUUUGAUACUGGAAGUCUUGAGUAUGGUAGAGGUGAGUGGAAUUCCGAGUGUAGAGGUGAAAUUCGUAGAUAUUCGGAGGAACACCAGUGGCGAAGGCGGCUCACUGGACCAUUACUGACGCUGAGGUGCGAAAGCGUGGGGAGCAAACAGG